CCAUUAUGGCUUUCUUUGGCGUUAUCUAAGCCUUCUUGAGGUUUCUAGCGCGUGAGGUGUAGUUACCCAAGUUAUAAUCACCUUUAGGUCUUAGUUAGUACCCAGAAAAUUGGCGUAGAGUAAUAUUAGUCAAAUCAAUCAGUUUAGGCUACACAUUUUACUGUCUCAUUUCCUGGGACAGAUGCAUAAUAGGGAAGAAAGCCAACCAGGAAGGGAUGACAUUUUGCCAACCACUGAGGAAGAUAUGGUUUCAAGAACUGAAGUGGGGAACAUUUAGUAAAGAGCAUUGCAUACUUAGGGUAGAAGAAAAAAAUGUGUUGAAGCAUGAUUAAAGAUUUCUAUGCUCAUCUUAGAUGUCACGUAUAUCAUCAUUCACAUCGAAAAAACUUCAUUUUAUUUUUGUGAUUUCUGUUGUCAUUAGCAUUUGUUGGAUAAUAUUUCAGCUUGAAGUAAUUGAGAAAUGCUUUGGAACUGUACCUUUACAAACACUUUCCACAUUCUUGCUUGAAGAUGAUGUUUCCUGUCAUAGAAAACAGGGUAACUGCCUUCUCACAACUGGCUACAGACAGUGAAAGACAGUAAGAGUUGAGAUGUUGAGGUUGUAAGCACUCAACUCUGUGGCCUAAAUGAAUUUUCCACAACUGCUAACUGGUUUCUUAUCUGCUCUUUGGAUUUUGUCUGAUAGAUGGGAUAUCCCCAAUGCUUUUGGGUGCUGUUACGACAGGCAAUCUUCAUUAUAAC